rnacentral:rRNA from 1 species
AUCGGAAGAGCGNGCGCGGUGGUCCCACCUGACCCCAUGCCGAACUCAGAAGUGAAACGCCGUAGCGCCGAUGGUAGUGUGGGGUCUCCCCAUGCGAGAGUAGGGAACUGCCAGGC